ensembl:lncRNA
GAAAGCUAUAAACAACUAUAUGCAAGACUUUGGUUACAAGCCUUUUCUGACCAUUCAGCAGUACUUUACAAAUGUGGCUUGUCAUCCUGUCAUACCUUGAUCUUUUCUUAUUACAGGAUUGAUCUUCCGCCCACUCACAAACCAUCUUCACAUGAAGAGAGAGCAUUCUCUCUACCACAGAAAGAAACUGUGAUUCAGAAAGAACAUCUUGCUUUGCAAAGUCAGUAUGGAGAGAAAGAUACUGGAAACUUGCAGCACAUGGUAAAUAUUCAGAAAGCUGUGAAUGAAAGGCAACUUAUCUGCGAGGCUGAAGAGCUACAGGAACAACAGUGUCUUCAGCAUAUGUACCCUGUUUAUCAGCAGACGUACUACAAAAAUUGGAGCAGCAGACACCCUCAAAACUCCGGACCUGGAAGAGUCUACAUCAAUCCAAGGGAGCACUAUGUAUGAUUAUGUAUACUGAUACUAACUUUAAGAUGUGAGGUUUUGCAUACUUANGGCAUAUGUUUCUUCAUCUCUGGUUAUGUAGUUGAAUAUCCUUUUUUCUAGUAAUACCACUUGUGAAUAUCAGUGAUGAUGGUUACAGAAAUGGAAUGCUCGGUCAACAUUUGUUUUAUUUAACAGGAGCACUCAUAUAAACUCAACUUUGAUCCUCAAGUCUAUUUAGAGAGCUUUGUAUUCUCUAUACAUCUGUGCAUUUAAUGACUGUAUUUGUUUCAUGUGUCUAAGUGUGAUAAUGUGCGAGCGUGCAAAUUACUUAAUGAUUCUUGAUUGAGUGCAUGAUAACCACUGACUUUGGGAUGACAGUUGAUUUGGACAUAAUUUGCAUACCUGAUAUUUUCUGAAGAUGCCAUAAUAUUUUGCAUCAUUGUGAAAGAAAGUGGGAGGAAAAACCCGCACAGCUGACCAAGUAGGAAGCUGAUAGGAGCUUCCACACGUGUUGAAAGCCCAGUCUGAGGCUAUCACCUGAGGUGCUGCUGCUCCUUACUGGAGAAAUGGGGCGAGGCUAGGGAGUAGUAAUUGUUGAGGACUGUGCAUCUGGGUAGCACUUGCUCUCUCAGGGUUGUUUUAGAUCUAUUAAAGAGCUUGUUCGUUGCUCUGAUUCACAUAAGUAAAUAAUUAAAAUAUGAACAGAUUCUCUUCAUUAGAGGUAUUAUCAAAACCUUUCAAAUAAUUGUGUUAAUUACCGAGUGUUCUCAUAAGGUGACAGAACAUGCCUUCUGUUCUUUCUUCCUAUGUGCUGGCCUCUAAUAUCAGAAUAACUACACACGUAAGAGCAGGUGAGUGGAAACUUAUGGAUAUUUAUACAGACACACAGAAAAACACUAGCCUUUCUGUAAGGCUGGAAUUCCAAAAAGUUAGUAUCUGAAGGGAGCCAGUCAAGGGGUAAAAGAUGGAAUUCAGCUUAAUAUGUUGUUUAUUACAAUUCAAACAAUUUAAACAAUUGUUUAACUCUGCAUGCUUGGUACCCUAACAGUGAUGAUGUUUAUCUUCUAGCUAGUCCCCAGCCUUAAAUCUCUGAUACAGACGUGAAGUUACCAGAAGCACCUUUCUUGUUUUUGCCUGAUUUGUUCUGCUCUUAUUCAAAUGCUUUUUUUGUUCAUAAAAUAUGAAGCAAACACAUAUGGCUAGUUGCUCUACGGAUAAUAUUAUUUCAUCUUCAGUUGAAACAAUAAAUAUUAAGACAAUGUCUUUCCGGUAGGACUGAACAGUUAAAGAAAGCUGAAGGUUACUGACAGGUAAGUGGUCACUACUAAUACCCUCAUUCGGUCUGCGAUUCUGAUAUAAGAGUUGAGUGGUGUUCAAUUUGUGCAGUUGUGUACAGGAUACACUGAGUAAUUAAAAAAAAAAAAAAAAAAAGGUUAUGACCAUUGUGAUGUCUUGACAGCUGCAUCCUUUCAAGUGAUUUUUCAUGUUCUUAAGAAUAACUUCUCCCUUCUUUUUGAUUAUUUGCUAUUUGAGAGAACACUGUGUGUACUGUGACGUUGACUGGGACAGAAGAAAUGGAAACACUCUGUUUCCUGAGCUGUGACCCUUUGAAGAAAGAUAAAUGAGAUUGUAAUGUGCCUGGAAGCAAUCCGACGUUGUUCCAAAGGAACCUAGGCUUCCUUUUAGCCUUUGUGAAGUCUGAAGAUGCAUGGUUGUUUAAUUGUUAAGUGAAGCAUUGUUGCAUCUCAGUCAAGCUCCUGUUCAAAUGCUGCGUAUCAGAUAACAAGAAAAAAUAUCCUGGAAGGGGGACAAAUUUGUUGUUCCAGAUUUUUUUCCUUCAAUAGUUGUCUCAAAUGUAUUUCAUCUGUGAUAUUUUGUAAUAAGCUGGACAUUAUUCUGAAUUUUGUUUCACGGGAUUUUUGGUAAUAAAUGAUGGUAACAGUCUAGACAGAAAAUAGAUGUCUCCUUAAUCAUACAUCUGUUGAUAGUUCCACUUCUCUCCAUUUACUGUUGUGUGACACGCACCUUAGGAUGUGAGGGUGAACUUAGGAAAAGGUGUAUUUUGAAAAAAGUCUUUUGCAGAAUGGGAGUACCUCCAGCAGCUGAAAG